CCUACGGGCGGCAGCAGUGAGGAAUAUUGGUCAAUGGGCGGGAGCCUGAACCAGCCAAGCCGCGUGAAGGAAGAAGGCGCCAGGCGUCGUAAACUUCUUUUGUCGGGGAACAAAGGGCGCCACGCGUGGCGUUGUGAGUGUACCCGAAGAAAAAGCAUCGGCUAACUCCGUGCCAGCAGCCGCGGUAAUACGGAGGAUGCGAGCGUUAUCCGGAUUUAUUGGGUUUAAAGGGUGCGUAGGCGGUCCGGAAAGUCAGCGGUAAAAGCCCGGGGCUCAACCCCGGCGAGCCGUUGAAACUGGCGUUCUUGAGUGGAAGAGAAGUAUGCGGAAUGCGUGGUGUAGCGGUGAAAUGCAUAGAUAUCACGCAGAACCCCGAUUGCGAAGGCAGCAUGCCGGCUUCCGACUGACGCUGAAGCACGAAAGCGUGGGGAUCAAACAGGAUUAGAUACCCGUGUAGUC
rnacentral:rRNA from 1 species